rnacentral:rRNA from 1 species
UCGAGAAUCUUUCACAAUGGGGGAAACCCUGAUGGAGCGACGCCGCGUGGAGGAUUAAGGUCUUCGGAUUGUAAACUCCUGUCAUGCGAGAGCAAAGCCGCAAGGCCUGAUAGUAUCGCAAGAGGAAGAGACGGCUAACUCUGUGCCAGCAGCCGCGGUAAUACAGAGGUCUCAAGCGUUGUUCGGAGUUACUGGGCGUAAAGGGUGCGUAGGUGGCCGCGCAAGUCAGAUGUGAAAUCCGGGGGCCCAACCCCCGAACUGCAUCCGAAACUGCGCGGCUUGAGUGCUAUAGGGGGACUUGGAAUUUUCGGUGUAGCAGUGAAAUGCGUAGAUAUCGAAAAGAAGACCAGUGGCGAAGGCUGGGUCCUGGGUAGCAACUGACACUGAGGCACGAAGGCCAGGGGAGCAAACGG